UGUACCGUGGCGUGUGGCGCG
rnacentral:misc_RNA from 1 species